UACGUAGGGGGCGAGCGUUGUCCGGAUUCAUUGGGCGUAAAGAGCUCGUAGGCGGCUUGGCAAGUCGGGUGUGAAAACUUCAGGCUCAACCUGGAGAUGCCACUCGAUACUGCUAUGGCUAGAGUCCGGUAGGGGACCACGGAAUUCCUGGUGUAGCGGUGAAAUGCGCAGAUAUCAGGAGGAACACCGGUGGCGAAGGCGGUGGUCUGGGCCGGCACUGACGCUGAGGAGCGAAAGCGUGGGAGCAACAGG
rnacentral:rRNA from 1 species